AAGAAAUAAAAGGGCACGACGAAAUGCAAGGCUAAACUGUAACCAUCAUGCAUCAUAUCCAAUAGGCAUCCACGCAAACCGCCGUCAUGGACGCACCGAACGGUGGACCACUGUACAAACGGGACUCCCUGAGCUGCCGGGAGGACCAGAGACAUUUUCGACUCGGGAGGGAGCAAUCCAUGUCCCUGAAGUAACCAUGGUUUCACCCAAUAGAAGCCGUCCUAGAUCAGUUGAAGACCAAAUGGGAGGAUGUACCAUGUUCUCACCGGGAGCAUUUUCUGGGACUGCUCCUGUAGCAUGUGCCUCAUUUCGAAGAGGUAACCAGAUUUAUGUUUCUUUACCACAAACCAUAGUCACUCGUAUGUUUUCAGAAAGUAACAGUAACAGAAAUGAAACAUGCCUUUUAACAGGGGAAAAGUGUCGAACUAAAUGUAGUGCCAUCAGUUCAUAAUGAAUGAAAAAGUACACUGAUGUUUUUUGCAUGUGAUUUAUUCAAGAACAAAAAAUAUACAUAUAAUCGCACACAUAUUAAACAUGUAGUUAUAGAUUGCAUUGACUACAGAUUGGUGGAUUGCACUGUGCAUCUUGUGUGACUUUAAUUUGUUUUAUUUAAAAGACGGAAGACCAGCCCCCAACCCUGUAUGUGCCAAACUAAUCCAAAAAAAA